GACAGAGUGCAUUUCAGGAACUGUGCUCUUUCCGUGGUUUCUUUGAUGCAGUUCGCAUAGGAAGUGUGUGGAGAGCGAUGAUCCUGACUUGUGCAGUGUUUUGGACUGCACUCUUCCUGGGUCAGAGUGUGUCCUCUGGAGCAGCUGCCCUUUGGAGUUGACAUUAGGCAUGUCUGUCUUCAGCAUUCUUCAUUUCAAGACUUCCAGUUUCAAUGUGGAAUGUAAGGCUGGGGUUCAUUCUCAGGGCUGCCCUUUCCUUCCUGUCUAGGCCGUCAGAAGACAAUCUCCCUCUCUAAAAAGCCUGUAACUUUGCAGAAUGAGGGGGAGAGACCCAGACUUUACCAGGAAGUGACCCCCACCUGGAAACCAGCCUCAUGUGUAGAAGUGGGGACAGCCAUCCUCUUUCGGGAAUGCCUGAAACCUAUGUCUGGUCCCGCACCGUUGAAGCACGCGAAGAACACUUUUAGCAAGCUACAAGGAUCUCAAGGACUAGAGCGACCCCAAGGGUCCUGUGGUGACAAUCACCUGCCAGAAUCUCUGCCUCCUGGGUGUACUGUCCUGGUAACUAAGAAUCCAGCAGUGCUUGAGUCCCUGCAGUAUUUACAACUCACAUACUUGGAAUAAUGAAGUUCUUUUCAUUCUGGGAAUGGAGCUCCCUCAGUGGCAGCCUCUGGAGUCUUCUCUGUUUUCAUCCUCAUUUCUCCGUGGGUCAGAGGACACCUGAGUAGAGGACCUGUCACUCUUCGGCUGUGAACACAGAUGAUUAAUCUCCCGUGAAUUUCCUGAAUCAGCUUCCAGUCUGGAAACAGAAACUUCCCCGAGUAUUUCAACAGAGAAUUUACUACAAAUAACUGCCAGGUAUUGGAGAAUUAACUGAAAAGGUGAGGUCUUGGCUACAGGAAGCAACGAUCACCCUAAGACUGGAAGAGCCCAGCCAGCUGGCCAGAUGCUUUGCUGGAACGAAGUCCUCACCUUCCAUCUGCUGGGCAGGGUUUGGCAUUUGCAAGAAUCACGUGUGAUGGAGUGACUCUGUCCCAAUAAAUACUUAUUCCCUUGGCAACAGAAGCCUUUUGGCCCUUAAUUAUGUUGUAUGGUGUUGGUUAUUUGUUUGGAAAGACAUUAAGCUUCUGUCAAAAAUGCAAACUGUAUCUGUAUGUGUUGAAGAAUCCAAUCCAAAAUUGCCAAAUAAUUAGGUUUCUUUUUGUAAGUUGAUUGCCCUUCUAGUUGCCAUCAUGUCAACUGAGACAAAAUGACACAUUGCCUUUCAGUGCAUUUGAAAUACAGGCCAGUUAGCAAGCUCAUGGGGUUCUGGGGCACACGGAAGGUGAUGGAGACUCCGUUUCCCUACCAUGUCUUGCAUUUAAGAGGUGCACUCGUGGCAGGCAGAGUGAGUGGGGGACAACAGUCAGACACAGGCAUGUGUUCUGUGGAAGAAACUAAUAUGUCAGGAUGGAUUCAUAGAAAUGAAAGGUGGCGAGUCUAAAAAGCCAGGAGUACAGCUGACACAGCCAGAGACAGGGAGAGCGAAGGAGAGCUGGGUGGCUGCUCAAUGUGUGUCCCUCUGGAAGGGAUGGUCACAAAGCAGGCAGCAGGAAAACACUGCAAUCACUAAACGGAGCCUCUAAGCGAUGUUCUCUUCCUUCACACAGCACCCCCCACUCCAAUGAAAUGACCACAGAACCGGGGCUCCAUGAGAUGCUUUGACCUCUACGGUGACUUCCUGGUGAUACAUUAGUCUCCAAAAAAGUAAACUUUUGUUGCUCUGAGCACUUGGGUUACAUUCCAACUAAGUACAAAACACUGUUAUUAAUACAGGGGGAAAGGUUAAAACUGCAGUCAUAGCAUAGACCUUCACACGUUUUUCAAAAAAUGACAAUUUUGAAGAAGAAAAGUAAAGAAGGGUAUAGGGAAUCUGAAUAGGAUCAUAAUUGAUGUAGAUGCACGAAUAUUUAUAUACUAUCUUACACCUGAUAAAUUGAAUUCCCAUAAUUCUCAUAUAUUCAGGAUAUUUACAAAAUAUAUCAGGGUACAAAGAAAAUAUCAAUAACAGGAAUAAUAUUCAAAAUGUCUUCAAAAUUUCCCCCCAUUAACCUUGCAUCUUAGAAAAACAGAAUAAUCAAACAUGUUCCCACGUAUUUCUUCACCUCUUCUUUUCCUCCUUUCUGAAUACUUUGGUCUAAGUGGGAAAUUGGAAUACAAAUGAUCUAAAGAAAAGUCAUGUGUUUAGGGAUGUUAAAUAGCUGACUAUAUUAAUGUUUUUGGAUCAUUGAACACAGCUGUUUGCAGUCUCUCCGUUUGAAUGUCUACUUUGUAUUCUUUGAUACUGUGAUUUGAGCAACUAUUUCCAAGAUGAUAUUAUGUAAUCUAUUAACAGGUGAUUUCUUACUGUUAUGUUUUUUUUUUGUAGUUAUGUAUUAUGUGUAACCUUACACUGCUUUGUUCUGUUUUGUGUUUUUCUCUUUUUCCUCUUAAAUAAAAAAAA